AUGGCCAAGCAAUUUACCGCUUGCAACUGGGCUCGUUCCCGGGUCACCGAGGAACAAUUGAACGAUAUGGUCAGCAUCGGCAUCUUGCCUAAGAAAACUGAAAUUAAAUGGCGAGUCCCAGGAGCAGAAAAUCCUCCAACCGCAAGGCAGGGUGAGCUGGUUGUCUUUGUUGAUCACAUGGGCCGUGGCUUCAAACCGCCAGGGUCAAAGUUUUACCGGGAUGUGCUUGCCAGUUUCCAACUUCAUCCUCAAGAUAUCGGACCCAACUCGGUCUCCAAUUUAUGCAACUUCCAGGUCUUCUGUGAAGUGUACUUACAAGAAGAACCAACUGCGGAGCUGUUCCGGGACUUCUUUCACCUAAACCGGCACACAGAAUUUGUAAAUGGCCCCAACACUGAACUUGGUGAUGUCUCAAUUCAGAAGCAUAAAGAAGUUGAAUUUCCUCAUGCCAAACUGCACAGCCAUCCUAAGGAAUGGAACCAGACUUGGUUUUACUGCAGAGAUAUGUCUCCUGAAGAUGAGAAUCCCCUCCCAGGCUUUCGUGAUCACCGGCUUUCCAACACCCAUCCAAUGUUGCAACGCUUAAGCUCUACAGAAAGGGCCAAAUAUGCCCCUCAACUCGCCAAACUCCGGGCUUUCAUGGCCAACGGUUUAACAGGCGUUGAUUUCAUGCGCUGUUGGAUAUCUUGGAGCAUCUUGCCGCUAAGCUGGCGCCCCGGUUUAAUGUGUGAGUACACCGGUGAUGUUGAAGACCCACAACGUCAUUGCAACAUUCAGGUGACCGAUGGAGAGGUCACGGAAAGUGUAAAGAAAAUUUUGAAUGAAACGGAAGUAGUCUGUAGUCAAACCGGACUGAACCCCUUCUAUACUAAGAACAGACCGUCUGAUGUAAGUACUAUACUUCCUUUUCAUCCUUGA
rnacentral:rRNA from 1 species